CCUACGGGAGGCAGCAGUGGGGAAUAUUGCACAAUGGGGGAAACCCUGAUGCAGCGACGCCGCGUGAGUGAAGAAGUAUUUCGGUACGUAAAGCUCUAUCAGCAGGGAAGAAAAUGACGGUACCUGACUAAGAAGCCCCGGCUAACUACGUGCCAGCAGCCGCGGUAAUACGUAUGGGGCAAGCGUUAUCCGGAUUUACUGGGUGUAAAGGGAGCGUAGACGGCAGCGCAAGUCUGGAGUGAAAUCCCAUGGCUUAACCAUGGAACUGCUUUGGAAACUGUGCAGCUAGAGUGCAGGAGAGGUAAGCGGAAUUCCUAGUGUAGCGGUGAAAUGCGUAGAUAUUAGGAGGAACACCAGUGGCGAAGGCGGCUUACUGGACUGUAACUGACGUUGAGGCUCGAAAGCGUGGGGAGCAAACAGGAUUAGAUACCCGAGUAGUC
rnacentral:rRNA from 1 species